rnacentral:rRNA from 1 species
AUGUCAUCCAUGAUAUAUGAGCUUGUGCAUUUCCUUAGCAAAUUUGUUGUGAUCUUCCUUGAUGGCAUAUUCAUACAUCAUGAUCAUAUUGUCCACCAUGAAUUGCAUGAUAGCUUACACAUAUUGAGCAUCCAUUUCCAUAUUCAUGCUAUUGAUGAACCGUCUCUCUAUGACAUCAUUUUGCACAAUGGUAGAAUUUGUCGCUUUGUGCACCAUGCUAAUUAUCCCAUGAAUGCUUUGCAUAUCAUUCUAGAUCAUCUUGAUAAGCAUCAUGUGUCUUGCCAUGCACCAUCUUGCCACACGGACUCAUAUUUACUUGAUGGACCCUUGGUGUGCGCUAACCAUUGUAUUUCUAAGUGUACUUUGUGUUUGCUUCUUUUGCAUGUAUACCACUUCGGAGACACCUUGGAGUACUUGGAUUGCGCCAUGCCUUCAACUUCGUCCAACUACAAGUCCGUCCACGACAACUGUUUCCAUGGUGAUGAGGAUCACGAUCCGAGGUCGGAUCUUUCCCGGGGGGGGGGAGGUGAGGCGGAGCAUCCCACGUUCAUCCCCAUGUACACUCCGACUACUCUCCAAGCCCCGAGGAUACAUAAGAUGAGACCUCGACUAUGCGCCAUUGGACACAAGGUGAACCCGUUCCUAAAUGCCUUUCCAUUCGUGUGA